rnacentral:rRNA from 1 species
GACGAACGCUGGCGGCGUGCUUAACACAUGCAAGUCGAACGGAAAGGCCCUGCUUUUGUGGGGUGCUCGAGUGGCGAACGGGUGAGUAACACGUGAGUAACCUGCCCUUGACUUUGGGAUAACUUCAGGAAACUGGGGCUAAUACCGGAUAGGAGCUCCUGCUGCAUGGUGGGGGUUGGAAAGUUUCGGCGGUUGGGGAUGGACUCGCGGCUUAUCAGCUUGUUGGUGGGGUAGUGGCUUACCAAGGCUUUGACGGGUAGCCGGCUUGAGAGGGUGACCGGCCACAUUGGGACUGAGAUACGGCCCAGACUCCUACGGGAGGCAGCAGUGGGGAAUAUUGCACAAUGGGCGGAAGCCUGAUGCAGCAACGCCGCGUGCGGGAUGACGGCCUUCGGGUUGUAAACCGCUUUCGCCUGUGACGAAGCGUGAGUGACGGUAAUGGGUAAAGAAGCACCGGCUAACUACG